GAGCACGUCCCCGCCGCCGUUCUGCCGGUUUGAUCUUGGCGGGCCCGAUGCGGGCCGCGGGGCGGUGGGCGUCUGCUUUGCCAACCCUGGAGCCCUGGUUUUCCCUCGACUGCAGGUCCGGGUCCCGGCCCUCCUCGCGAUCCUCCUCGGUCCUCAUGGCGGGCGCCCGAGGGCAGGGGCUGGAGACGGUGUCGAUGUGCUCGUUGUCGCCGCCGCCGAGCUACAGCAAUUCCACAAUGUCGCUGUUGUCUCCUCUCGGCCACCAGAGCUUCCCUUUUGACGACGACGGUGGUGAGGGGGAAGAUGAGGACGACGUGGACCCAGAUGCUCAUGACUCAGAGGCCAAGGUGGCAAGCUUGAGAGGAAUGGAGUUACAGGGGUGCUCCAGUGGAGCUGAAUCAGAAAAUAACCAAGAAGAGAAACAGACAGGCUUACCAGAAGGCAGCCUGACACCCUGGGAAGUCUGGUUUGUUGGCAAAGAAAAAGAAGAACGUGACCGUCUGCAACAGAAAGCUCAGGAGGAAUUGAAUCAACAGCUAGAAAAAAGAAAAGAAGUGGAAGAACGUGAAAAAAGGAAAGUAAUGGCUGAAGAAAAACACAAGGAAUGGGUGCAGAAAAAGAAUGAGCAGAAAAGAAAAGAAAGGGAACAGAAAAUUAUUAAGGAAAUGGAGGAAAAAGCAGCAAAGGUCCUGGAGAAAGAACAUAUUCAAGAGAAAGCAAAAGAAAAAUAUCAAGAAUGGUUAAAGAAAAAAAAUGCUGAAGAAUGUGAGAAGAAGAAGAAAGAAAAGGAAAAAGAAAAACAACGGCAAGCUGAAUUACAGGAAAAAAAGGAAAUAGCAGAAAAAAAGUUUAAGGAAUGGUUGGAAAAUGCAAAAAAUAAACCUCGUCCAGCUGCAAAGAGCUAUGGUUAUGCCAAUGGAAAACUUACAGGUUUUUAUAGUGGGAAUUCUUAUCCAGAGCCAGCCUUUUAUAACCCAAUUCCAUGGAAACCAAUUCAUAUGCCUCCUCCUAAAGAAGUUAAGGCUCUAUCAGGAAAGAAGACCAAAAAGCCUGUGAUAAGUCAGCCACACAGGUCUUCAUCUCUGGGUGCCAUCAAGAAAUGAAAAUUUGUUGCGGCAACAUAAAGUUCAAAAUGUUUUUGCAGUGACUGUGAAGAAAAUGGAAACCAUGUUGGGAAAUUGACUUGAGAUACCAGUGUGCUCUGGUUGACUCAGUCGCAUGAGAUGCAAACUUGCCCCUGGCAGGGAACUCCCUUCCUCCCGGAGCCACAAGAUUAUAGAGAAAUCUGGCAGACACCACAUUAACCAAGUGACCAAGGUUAAUAUCACCAGUGAUAAAACAAAUCAUGGAUUCCCUGAUGUGAUGGAACCAGAAAGGCACUUCACUUCUAUGGGAUUCAUCGCCAAAACCUACAACCUCAGUUUGAUCGGGAGCAAAUAUCAGACAUACCUGAAUGGAGUGACAUGGUACAAAAACCUGACCACUCAUCUUUGAAACAGUCAAGUUAGAAAAGACAAUGAAAGACCUAGAAACCAUCACAGAUUGAGGAGACAGUGGAAAAAACUAAAUGCAACCUAGUACCCUGAACUGAGUCCUGGAAAAGAAAUCCAAAUAAAGUCUAUAAUUUAGUUAAUAGUAUUGUACCAAUAUUAGUUUCUUAGUUUUGAUACAUGUAUCAUGGU